rnacentral:lncRNA from 1 species
AUUAAUUACUCACCACAAGAGUGUAUCGGUGUACAAUCAUUUUAGGUUCUAAUUGGCAAAGUAGUGAGGUGAUUGACAUCAAUCCAAUUGAUUAUAUUUAAUUCAAUCACUUAGUGAAUUAAAACUUCCUUUUAAUUCACCUUCUUCUUUGAUGACUACAUUUAAUUAUCUAGAAGAACUCACAAGCUAUGAGUGACAUCUAACCAUAUAUCAUAGCUACCCAAGCUAAUGUAGAAGUUGUUCGGAGAACCUAUUCAGUUGGAAUUACAAUGUAAUUCGAUCCUUCUCUAAAACAAUACUCUCAAUCACAUUACUAGGGUAUGGAUAUAUUAUGUCAAACCCCUAAUGUGAUUAUUCCUUCUUAUAUGAUUCAAUUGAGUCGCAUAGGAACGCUUUCCUUUAUUACGCUCGAUACUUCGGCCGAAGAUUCCCGAAUCAUAUCUUAGAGUAUUCUUCCUCUCUUAUCGAGGAUUAGAGAUUCCUUGUUGCGCAUUCACUUGCCUUCAUGACUAAGUGACUUAACCCCAAUUAUGCAGUGGACACCCGCGAAUGGGGUGACUUUGACAUAAUCAAAGAUUAAGUACUUAGCCACAAGACAAAUACGAUGCCUCAGGUCAAAGGACUACUUACAUUAUUCCAACCAUUAGAGUUACUUUCUUGACAUAUGAGUAGACCUCCAUGCAAGUACUCUCGUUCGAUUGUGUUCAGUGAACUCAUUCCCUUAAUGAGCACCUACAU